UCUCCGUUGGUGAACCAGCGGAGGGAUCAUUACGAGAAGCCGAAAGGCUACUUAAAACCAUCGCGAACUCGUCCAAGUUGCUUCGGCGGCGCGGGGCUCCUCACGGGGCGCCGCUGCCCGGCCUCUCCGGAGGUGUGGGCGCCCGCCGGAGGUACGAAACUCUCAAUGUAUUACAGCGGCAUCUCUGAGUACGAAGCAAAAAUAAGUUAAAACUUUCAACAACGGAUCUCUUGGUUCUG
rnacentral:misc_RNA from 1 species